rnacentral:rRNA from 1 species
GGGAAUCUUCCGCAAUGGGCGAAAGCCUGACGGAGCAACGCCGCGUGAGUGAUGAAGGUCUUCGGAUCGUAAAACUCUGUUGUUAGGGAAGAACAAAUUUGUUAGUAACUGAACAAGUCUUGACGGUACCUAACCAGAAAGCCACGGCUAACUACGUGCCAGCAGCCGCGGUAAUACGUAGGUGGCAAGCGUUAUCCGGAAUUAUUGGGCGUAAAGCGCGCGUAGGCGGUUUCUUAAGUCUGAUGUGAAAGCCCACGGCUCAACCGUGGAGGGUCAUUGGAAACUGGAAAACUUGAGUGCAGAAGAGGAGAGUGGAAUUCCAUGUGUAGCGGUGAAAUGCGCAGAGAUAUGGAGGAACACCAGUGGCGAAGGCGGCUCUUUGGUCUGUAACUGACGCUGAUGUGCGAAAGCGUGGGGAUCAAACA